UCGUCCGCCGACGCCGAGCUCCCGGCCUCCAACGUCCUGCGUGCGAGCGGCGAGCCCUACCUCCACUGCGCCCCGAGCGUCGUCCGCUCCGGGACGAGGCCGCCGUGCUCCUGCGGUCCUACGGGCUGCUGGUGAGGUGAUGUAGGUGUUGUGUAGAGAUGGGUGGUAGAGGAGUCGUAAGGAGAUUGCCAGAGCUGAAUCGGUAGGUCAUCCGCAUCAGCUUAUUCUGUGUGUUGUCGUUGAUAUAGUCGGCGGCUGCACCGUGUAUUGCUUUUAAUUUUAAUUUUGUUAAUUUCCGAGGUAUAAGAUUAUUUGUUCAAUUCAGUUUUCAGACCUCCUAGUUUUCAAUUUGCAGAUACUAAGUAAACCGAAGGUACACAUUCAUGAUUCAUCUAGUUCUUACUUUUUUUUUAUUCUGAUUAUGCAAAUGCACAGACCACAUAUUAUUUUAGUGCUAGAUCAAAAUUUCAAACAUAGCCAUGCGUGUCCCCGGAAAUAUCUGAUUCAUCGGAAAACCGUACGAAAUUCCUGUUUAAGAACGUUACAUAGAGUAAAAUACAAAUAUUCUAAGAUCUCUUGCACUAAAGGAUCUCCUUGUACACAAUAUUUUUUGCCGAAUUAUUUUCCUUGGAUUCUUCAUCUGAAAUUAGAACUUUAAGUCCAUCUCUACUUGUGACUCUUGAUACCGCUACAUAGAGUUGGCCAUGCGUGAACACCUGCUUCGGUAAAUAUAGGCCCACAUGUUUUAGCGACUGCCCUUGACUCUUAUUUAUCGUCAUUGCAAAACAAACUGAUAUUGGGUACUGCCUCCUUUUCAACACAAACGGCCAUUUCGAGUCACUUGGUGACAUAAUUAUCCUUGGAAUAUAUACCUUGUUUCCAAUGUUUGUCCCUGUUAUUAUUUGAGCUUCUAUGAACCAUUUGCCUAGCUGUGUUAUAGUUAGUCUCGUACCAUUGCAUAAGCCCUCGCUUUGGUUGAUAUUCCGUAGCAGCAUAAUUGGCAGGCCUACUUUCAGCCGUAGUAUGUGGUCUGAUAUUCCAGGGCACUUCAAGCUAUUCAGGAAUUCUGUUGGGUACAAAUGAUCUACAUCUUCCGAAUUUGACAUUGCUUUGCAUACUGUAUCUGAGCUUUGAUAUGUUACCUCUUCACCUUCUAUUCUACUCAUGAUGUAAGAAUUUACCUCAUCAACCAUGUCAUUUCUUGGACAUAAGAUGGCUCUCUCUUCUAAGUAUGUUCGGUUGGUGUAGUUCGUCCAUAGGUUUGGAUAGGUGUUGUUGAUGAUCGUUUCAAAUUGGUUCUCUCCUUUCUGCAGAAGCAAGUCUUCAGGUAUAUGUACCCAUGCCUCUUCUUCUUUAUUUCCAACUAAUCCAUCUCCAAUAUUUAGAAUCCAGCCCGCAAAAUCUGUGGUCUUUCUUUGUUCUUCUGGAGUAUCUGUUAGUGCAGAAACACGCAUGUUCUGAGUGAGCUUGAAUUCCUCAAAGUGUUUCCAUAAGUAAGAACGUUUUAAGGAUGCAUUAACAAUGUGAGAUCUUCGUCCUUUCGGUAUUACAGGCAGGAUUUGUCUGAAGUCACCUCCCAUCACUACUGUCAUCCCUCCAAAUGGUUUAUCUGUACUAUUUUCGUUUGUGAACCUUAGAAUGUCUCUCAAGCUCUUGUCCAAUGCUUCGAAGCAAUGUCUGUUCGCCAUUGGUGCUUCGUCCCAUAUAAUUAAUGAUGUUUUCUUUAGCAGGUCUGCAAGACAAGAUCCUUGCUUGAUGUCACAUGUGGACUCAUUAACGAUGUUGAGUGGGAUGUGAAAUCUUGAAUGUGCAGUUCUUCCCCCAGGAUGAAGCUGAAGUUCAUCAAAGUUCAAGAUUCUCCUCUGAUGUUGUUGUACGUCAUUCGAGAGUAAUUCCCAUGUAGAUUUCCAUAGUUUUCCUGGAUCUGUGACCUCGCCAAAAAGGAGUAUUGUGCAGAAAAGUUGGCGCAUUUGUUGUGCAGAAGCCCAAAUUGAUGCUUCCUUAAUACAAUCAUCCCAUUCUUUGUCAUCAUUGAGUAAUCCAAGGGCGUAACAUGCUGAUCUAUAGGUCGGGUGUAUAGUACCAUUUACUUUUCUGAUGUCCUCAAAUGAUUUACAACCUUUGACAGAGUUUAGCAGUAUUCUUAGGUAAUAUUUCUCACCACUUGCUGGAUGGGCAUAGUAGAUCCUCCCAAUAGAUUGUUUCCUGCCUUUCCUUGGUUUCCAUUUUUUCUUCUUUGCAUGCCACGUCCACUUAGUAGGGAAUUCUGCAUAUGUCAGAUCACGGGCCUCCUCAUACAAUUGAUUAGAGGUCAUCCAUUCAGUGAAAAUUGUUUUUUCUAUGCCAGUUCUAUGUACAAUUUUCUCAAUAUCAGUUGAGUCCGGGAACACAACCAUUUGUUCAUCUUGAAGGUGGAAUUGCAGUCUCUGUACAGAAGGCUGCCGAUGCUGAAGUUCAAAUCCAAAUAUACGCCAAGAUGCUUCACCUGCAGAUAGGUAUCGUGCAUCAAGAACAUCUUAGGGAAAUGUUUUGAGCACUUCCCAUUGAUCAUGCAUGGUGACUUGUAGUGCGGUUGUCCACAUGGCCCGUGCAUCAUGAAAUUUUCAACUGCCAGGUAACCUUCUGGGUCAGCAUCCUUGUCUGGUACCUCUGCUGAUAUGAUCUGGUCAAUAUUUUGGGGGCUAGGAUCCUUGUCGCCUAGAUCCAGAAAUAGUAGUAUAUGUGCAUGAGGUAGACCUCUUUUCUGGAACUCGAUGGUGUAGACAACUACAACAAAGCAUUAUAAUUUCAUUAGUCACAUUUUAAGUUUGCGUAGUAAUUUACAAUGUGUUCUAAUAUUCAAACAAUGAGGCAAGAUAUGAAGAUAAUGUCCAUAAUUAACUUAGUUGUGAUGAUAUGUAGGAAUUGGCUGAAACUGGGUUUACUCACUUGCUAUUGCUUUUCCA